rnacentral:rRNA from 1 species
UACAGAGGGGGCAAGCGUUAUUCGGAAUUAUUGGGCGUAAAGGGCGCGUAGGCGGCUUGACAAGUGGCGGGUGAAAUCCCUCGGCUUAACCGAGGAACUGCCUGCCAGACUGUCUUGCUUGAGACCGGGGAGAGGUGAGUGGAAUUCCCAGUGUAGCGGUGAAAUGCGUAGAUAUUGGGAGGAACACCAGUGGCGAAGGCGGCUCACUGGACCGGAACUGACGCUGAGGCGCGAAAGCGUGG